ACCCGUUGAUUCUGCGGGAGAUUGCUGCUAUUGGGAUCCGACUUAGCCAUGCAAGUCAGGGACUCUUCGGAGGACCGGCAGACCGCUCAGUAACACGUCGAUAAUCUACCCUAAGGUUUGGGACAAGCUCGGGAAACUGAGUCUAAACCCGAAUAAGAAAUAUACUCUGUAAUGACAUAUUUCUCAAAAGUAAUGCCUUAGGAUGAGUUGGCGGCUGAUUAGGCUGUUGGCGAGGUAAUGGCUCACCAAACCUAUGAUCAGUAGGAGCCUUGAGAGAGGUAGCUCCGAGAAGGGCACUGAGAUACUGGCCCUAGCCCUAAGGGGUGCAGCAGGUACGGAACCUUUACAAUGCAGGAAACUGUGAUAAGGGGAUCCCAAGUGCUUUACUUCGGUAAGGCUUUUGUCAAGCGUAAAUAACUUGGCGAAUAAGUGGUGGGAAAGACUGGUGCCAGCCGCCGCGGUAACACCAGCGCCACAGGUGGCAAUCACGAUUAUUGGGUCUAAAGGGUCCGUAGCCGGUUUGUUAAAUUUUUCGUGAAAUUGUUAUGCUUAACUUAACAAUGUGCGAAGAACACUGACAGACUAGAGACCGGGAGGAGACAGAAGUAUUCUUGGGGGAGUGGUAAAAUGCUAUAAUCCCAAGAGGACUACCUAUGGCGAAGGCAUCUGUCUAGAACGGUUCUGACGGUGAGGGACGAAAGCUAGGGGAGCGAUCCGGAUUAGAUACCCGAGUAGUCCUAGCCGUAAACGCUGUGAGUUAUGUGUUGCACUUUCUUCGGGAAAGUGCAGUGCCGAAGUGAAGACAUUAAACUCACCACCUGGGAAGUACGGUCGCAAGAUUGAAACUUAAAGAAAUUGGCGGGGGCUUACUACAAGGGGUGCGGCGUGCGGUUUAAUCGGAUUUUACGCCGGGAAUCUCACCAGGAGCGACGGCAGGAUGAAGGUCAGAUUGAAGGUUUUACCUAACGAGCCGAGAGGUGCUGCAUGGCCGCCGUCAGUUCGUGCCGUGAGGUGUCCUGUUAAGUCAGGCAACGAACAAGAUCUAUAUCUACAGUUGCUAACAUACCAUUUG
rnacentral:rRNA from 1 species